AUAGAUCCCUGGUAGUCCACGCCGUAAACGAUGAAUGCUAGGUGUUAGGGGUUUCGAGUACCCUUGGUGCCGAAGUUAACACAUUAAGCAUUCCGCCUGGGGAGUACGGCCGCAAGGCUGAAACUCAAAGGAAUUGACGGGGACCCGCACAAGCAGUGGAGUAUGUGGUUUAAUUCGAAGCAACGCGAAGAACCUUACCAGGUCUUGACAUCCCCCUGACCGGUGCAGAGAUGUGCCUUUCCUUCGGGACAGGGGAGACAGGUGGUGCAUGGUUGUCGUCAGCUCGUGUCGUGAGAUGUUGGGUUAAGUCCCGCAACGAGCGCAACCCUUGACUUUAGUUGCCAGCAAGUAAGGUUGGGCACUCUAGAGUGACUGCCGGUGACAAACCGGAGGAAGGUGGGGAUGACGUCAAAUCAUCAUGCCCCUUAUGACCUGGGCUACACACGUACUACAAUGGCCGGUACAACGGGAAGCGAAGGAGCGAUCUGGAGCGAAUCCUUUAAAGCCGGUCUCAGUUCGGAUUGCAGGCUGCAACUCG
rnacentral:rRNA from 1 species